GAAUUGCCAUUGAUACUGUUGUUCUUGAGUUAUUGUGAAGUGGUUAGAAUGAGUAGUGUAGCGGUGAAAUGCAUAGAUAUUACUCAGAAUACCGAUUGCGAAGGCAGAUCACUAACAAUGAACUGACGCUGAUGGACGAAAGCGUAGGUAGCGAACAGGAUUAGAUACCCUGGUAGUCUACGCCGUAAACGAUGGUUACUAGCUGUUCGGGUUAAUUGAGACCUGAGUGGCUAAGCGAAAGUGAUAAGUAACCCACCUGGGGAGUACGUUCGCAAGAAUGAAACUCAAAGGAAUUGACGGGGGCCCGCACAAGCGGUGGAGCAUGUGGUUUAAUUCGAUGAUACGCGAGGAACCUUACCAGGGCUUAAAUGCAUUUUGACAGGGGUGGAAACAC
rnacentral:rRNA from 1 species